UUUUAGAUUUAGAUAUCGACUCUUAUGUACUGGAGGUAACUGAACGGACUGACGUAGAGGCGAAUAUUCAAACGGAGACCAAUACUAGACUAGUAAUCGCUGGAAUUGACUUUGGAACAACUUACUCUGGAUAUGCAUAUUGUCUUCGAACUGAUUACAGGGCUAAUAAAAAAAAACAAGAAUUGAAAUUUCCACACUGGAAAAUAGGAGAUGGCCGCGCUAGCUAUAAAGCUCCUAACUGUAUCCUGUUCAAGCCAGACAUGUCAUUUCAUAGUUUUGGCUAUGAUGCAGUAAACAACUGUUUGAUAUUUAUAAACAAUGGAGAAGUAGAUGAAUGGUUUUACUUCGACAAUUUUAAGAUGGUUUUAUUCGAUGAAAAGGAAGGGUUAACAAAAGAUACCUUGUUGUAUGAAACAUUCACAUCUUCUGUUGGCCACAGGAAGAAAAUGAAAGCUAUCGAUGUUUUUGCAGCUGUGAUACAUUUUUUCAAAGAU